rnacentral:rRNA from 1 species
GACGAACGCUGGCGGCGUGCCUAAUACAUGCAAGUUGAGCGCUGAAGGUUGGUACUUGUACCAACUGGAUGAGCAGCGAACGGGUGAGUAACGCGUGGGGAAUCUGCCUUUGAGCGGGGGACAACAUUUGGAAACGAAUGCUAAUACCGCAUAAAAACUUUAAACACAAGUUUUAAGUUUGAAAGAUGCAAUUGCAUCACUCAAAGAUGAUCCCGCGUUGUAUUAGCUAGUUGGUGAGGUAAAGGCUCACCAAGGCGAUGAUACAUAGCCGACCUGAGAGGGUGAUCGGCCACAUUGGGACUGAGACACGGCCCAAACUCCUACGGGAGGCAGCAGUAGGGAAUCUUCGGCAAUGGACGAAAGUCUGACCGAGCAACGCCGCGUGAGGGAAGAAGGUUGUCGGAUCGUAAAACUCUGUUGGUAGAGAAGAACGUUGGUGAGAGUGGAAAGCUCAUCAAGUGACGGUAACUACCCAGAAAGGGACGGCUAACUACGUG